CUCCGGGUGGUGUAGUUGGUUCAUCACGUCGGGCUGUAAUCAUGACAGAGAAUACCUGAAGGUCGCGUGUUCGAUUCACGCCCUGGAGA
rnacentral:tRNA from 1 species